UACAGAGGCCUCGAGCGUUAGGCGGAAUCACUGGGCUUAAAGCGUGUGUAGGUGGAUGCCUAAGUACCUUGUGAAAUCCCAUGGCUUAACCAUGGAAUUGCUUGGUAUACUGGGUGUCUUGAGCCACUCAGGGGCUACCGGAACAAGCGGUGGAGCGGUGAAAUGCGUAGAUAUCGUAAGGAAGACCAGUGGCGAAGGCGGGUCUCUGGACAGUUCCUGACGCUGAGGCACGAAGGCCAGGGGAGCAAACGGG
rnacentral:rRNA from 1 species